AGCUCGGGAGCCCCCCCUGCAGGACCAGGAGCUCCCCACUUUUCCUAUCUUCUUAUUAAAUGGUGUCGUAAUCACAGGGCCUCCUUCUGAGCUCCCUUCUCCUUCGCCCUCUCUAACAACCUGAAUUUGGCAUGCUUCCCCUCCCCUUUAACCCUCACAAACUAAAAAUAAUAUCCACUUGGAACCAGCCAAAGAGUGUCAGUUGGAGGAGUUUAAUUAGCAGGAGCGGGCAGGAGACAGCUCUGGCCUUCCCGGUUUGCUGCCUUCUCUCCGGGGAGCUGGAGCCAAGCACAAUUGGAAAAUCCAGACACGUACGCGGCGACCUCUGCGUCUGGGAAGGAGUUCCAGCUCCAAGAUUCUGCAACCCACUGUGCUGGCAACAUUCCACAGGCUCGUCUUGGGAAACGAUAAUUGAUUACUCAGGAGGGAAAACUUUAUCUCAACACCAGCUGGCAGCCAGACCCUGCUCUAGAGCCCCCGAAUUAGUCUCCAGCAAGAUCCUCAGCAGAGACAGUCUAAGUGUGAACAGGGCUGACGUUAUCUCAAAGUCCAGAAUGUCCCUGUAUAUGUGUUCUUCCUUAAACGCACUCAAGUUUGGCAUUAAUAGAGUCUCAGGAGAGUACAUUUUCCAGUGGCUACCCGAGGCCCCAACUGUAUAUAUUUUUUUGAAUAGGCAGCAUGUUUUUCCUUCCAAAACCACUUGAACAACUAAGCCAGGUAGCAACAACUCAGGAAUGCAGCAACCUCAGGCUGAUAGCAGAAAGGAAAUAAGAGUCAGCUUUGAGAAGCAGUGAGGUGGAGGUGAACAUUAGUAUCCUGGGAUUUAUGGACACUCUUGUCCUCCCAGCUGAGUUGACUGUUGUUACCCGUUGGGUCCCUUGAGGCUGCCAUUCCAAUUUCCAGGAUGUUAAAGUAAGACAAAAAUGCUGAUUACUUGUCCAAACUCUUCAAGUGAAAAUAAGUAUGAAAUUUUAAACAUGAAUGCGAUUUCCAUUCCAAAAAGUGUUUUCUGGAUGCCAAAAACACGCGUCGGUGCUUUUGUUGAAUAAAAUUGCUGAGAGUCCUUCUACUAUCUAUCUG
rnacentral:lncRNA from 12 species